rnacentral:rRNA from 1 species
GACAGAGGGUGCAAACGUUGUUCGGAAUUACUGGGCGUAAAGGGCUCGUAGGUGGCCAACUAAGUCAGACGUGAAAUCCCCUCGGCUUAACCGAGGAACUGCGUCUGAUACUGGAUGGCUUGAGUUUGGGAGAGGAAUGCGGAAUUCCAGGUGUAGCGGUGAAAUGCGUAGAUAUCAGGAGGAACACCGGUGGCGAAGGCGGCCAUCUGGACGACAACUGACGCUGAGAUGCGAAAGCGUGGGGAGCAAACAGG